GCCAGACACAGUGGUGCACGCCUGUAAUCCCAGCGGCUUGGAGGCUGAGGCAGGAGGAUCAGGUGUUCAAAGCCAGCCUCAGCAACUUAGGGAAGCCCUAAGCAACUCAGUGAGACCCUGUCUCUA
rnacentral:sRNA from 1 species